CCCUUAGAUGUUCUGGGCCGCACGCGUGCUACACUGACCGGCGCAACAAGCUUUUUUCCUUGGCUCGACAGGCCUGGGUAAUCUUCGAACGCCGGUCGUGAUGGGGAUAGAUCCUUGCAAUUUUUGAUCUUCAACGAGGAAUUCCUAGUAAAUGCGAGUCAUCAUCUCGCGUUGAUUACGUCCCUGCCCUUUGUACACACCGCCCGUCGCACCUACCGAUUGAAUGGUCCGGUGAAUAAUUCGGACUGCAGCAGUGUUCAGUUCCUGAACGUUGCAGCGGAAAGUUUAGUGAACCUUAUCACUUAGAGGAAGGAGAAGUCGUAACA
rnacentral:rRNA from 1 species